rnacentral:rRNA from 1 species
UACGCCUGGAACGGUGAGUGGAUCAAAGCUCCGGCGGCAUAGGAUGGGCCUGCGCCGUAUCAGGUUGUAGGGGGUGUAAAGUACCCUCUAGCCAUCAACGCGUACGGGUGUUGGGAGACAUUGCCCGGAGAUGGAUUCUGAGACACGAAUCCAGACCCUACGGGGUGCAGCAGGCGCGAAAACUUGGCAAUGCGAGCAAUCGUGACCAGGGAACUCCAAGUGCUUGGGGUAAGACCCAAGCUUUUCUUGACUCUUAAACGGUCUUGGAAUAAGGGGUGGGUAAGGACGGUGCCAGCCGCCGCGGUAAUACCGGCGCCUCAAGUGGUAGUCGCUUUUAUUGGGCCUAAAACGUCCGUAGCCGGUCUGGUGCAUUCGUGGGUAAAUCAACCCGCUCAACGGGUUGAAUUCUGCGAGCACGGCCAGACUUGGGACCGGGAGAGGUGUGGGGUACUCUCGGGGUAGGGGUAAAAUCCUGUCAUCCCGAGAGGACCACCUGUUGCGAAGGCGCCACACUAGAACGGAUCCGACGGUCAGGGACGAAACCUAGGGGCACGAACCGGAUUAGAUACCCGGGUAGUCCUAGGUGUAAACGCUGUGGACUUGAUGUUGGGGGCGCUCCGAGCGCUUUCAGUGUCGAAGCGAAGGUGAUAAGUCCACUGCCUGGGGAGUACGGUCGCAAGGCUGAAACUUAAAGGAAUUGGCGGGGGAGCACUGCAACCUGAGGAUUGUGCGGUUUAAUUGGAUUCAACGCCGGAAAACUCACCAUGGCCGACGGACAAAUGAAAGCCAGUGUAACGAACUUGCUGGAUUGUUCGAGAGGUAUUGCAUGGCCGUCGUCAGUUCGUACCGCAAGGCGUUCUGUUAAGUCAGAUAACGAACGAGACCCUCAUCCCUAUUUGCCAGCUGCGUCCCCGGACGUAGCGCACUAUAGGGAGACCGCUGUCGAUAAGGCAGAUGAAGGCGAGGGCAACGGUAGGUCAGUAUGAUCCGAAUGCCAUGGGCUACACGCGCAAUACAAAGGACGGGACAAUGGGCUGCAACUCCGAGAGGAAUGACGCUAUCCCGAAACCCGUUCGUAGUUCGGAUUGAGGGCUGUAACUCGCCCUCAUGAAGCUGGAUUAGGUAGUAAUCGCGUCUCAAUAG